rnacentral:rRNA from 1 species
AUUGAACGCUGGCGGCAUGCUUUACACAUGCAAGUCGAACGGCAGCGCGGGCUUCGGCCUGGCGGCGAGUGGCGAACGGGUGAGUAAUGCAUCGGAACGUGCCCAGUAGUGGGGGAUAGCCCGGCGAAAGCCGGAUUAAUACCGCAUACGACCUUAGGGUGAAAGCGGGGGACCGAAAGGCCUCGCGCUAUUGGAGCGGCCGAUGUCGGAUUCGCUAGUUGGUGGGGUAAAGGCUUACCAAGGCGACGAUCCGUAGCUGGUCUGAGAGGACGACCAGCCACACUGGGAGUGAGACACAGCCCAGACUCCGACGGGGGGAAGCAGUGGGGAAUUUUGGACGAUGGAGGCAACCCUGAUCCAGCCAUGCCGCGUGAGGGAAGAAGGCCUUCGGGUUGGAAAGCGCUUUUGUUCGGGAAGAAAUCCUGUGGGCUAAUACGCCGGGGGGAUGACGGUACCGGAAGAAUAAGCACCGGCUAACUACGUG